rnacentral:lncRNA from 1 species
AAGGUUUAAUAAUUGAUAUCCAAGGCUCCAAAUUUGAAUCAUAAUUGAUUCAUAUUUUCAGCUAAAUUUAUUUUUAAAUAAAAUAAACGAAGCAGAUAGUAUACUAUAUAUCUUUUAAAAAAAUUUAAAUAAAAUAAAUGAAACAGAUAGCAUAUUAUCUAUCUCUAAAAAAAAAGAUAGUUAAAAAGAAGUUGUUCUACAAAAUGAUACUGUUGUAAGGUGGAAAUUCUUUAGAAUACAAUAAAAGAAAAGAGAAUUUUGUGAACACGCCAGUGACAAAUAGGUGCCAAUAUGCCAAAGACUAUUUUUAAUGCAAACAAAUUAAACUUAUGAUGUUUGAUAAAAUUAAAUUAAUUUCGCUGAAUUAACGGCGUGGAGCCCAAAAGAUCUUGUCGCAUCUGAUCAUAAUUACAAGGAAGAAAUAACAAAUUGUGAGCAAACAUCAACAUACAUUUGAUGGAAGAGGGCCAAAAAUCGAUCAAUUUAUUGUUGUGGGGCCCGCGUAGGAAGGGGGAUACAUGCAUGUGGGCUUUGAGGUAGGAUUUGGACCAAGUGUGAGGACGACCCAAUUUUGGUGUUUUAAGUCAAUACGAUAUUGCCGACCGUCCCUAGAGCAAGUGGUAAAUAGCUUGAUGGUUGGUAUCCGAGACCCAAAUUCGAAUCUUAGUUGAUUCACAUUUUCAGCUAAAUUUAUUUCUAAAUGAAAUAAACAAAACGGGUAACGUUGUUAUGCGUUAAGCUGGUCCAUAGUACGACCGGGCUAAACAGAUCCUAAAAAUUUAUUUCUAAAAAAAAAAAAAAAAAGUCAAUACGAUGUUAUGCGUUAAGCUGGUCCAUAGUACGACCGGGCUAAACAGAUCCUAAAUUAAGAGCACAAUUAAUACCUACUAUUAAGGGGUUAAAGAACAAGCACAGAUAUUAGAAAAGAGUUGAGCUGCUGAUUCUUUACUAAAAUAUGUUUGGAGUAUGGAUAACAAAGUAGUAUUAAAUUUCGUUUGGAAUUGUAAACUGAUUGCGUUACGGUACGUGAUAUUGUAUUUCGUAUAUUGUGAUUAAUCGAUUAUGAUACAUUUUUUAUGAUCCUAUCAAAAAAUACAGAAGUUCAUUUUUGGAUAUUUUUAUCCCAACUCUAUUUUAUCUAAUAGCGUCAGAUGAGGGACAAUAUCAAACUAAGCCUUACAGUCCUGCUUGGCCAGCUUUUUAUUGCGGUGUGGCCUAUUUACUUUACUGGAAUGCGCGCUAUAUAUAAUUCACUAAUAAAAAUAUUUGUUAUUUAUAAUAGCUUUAGAUUUAAAGCUUUUGUAUAUUUCCAUUAAAUAUAUUUCAAAAUUACAUGACACUGCUAAGAAGUGGUGAGGAAUCUACACAAUCAACGUCCGAAGCCCUUAAUACAACUUUAUGUAAAGUCGUCCUCCGUUCUCUUGGGCCUUCGGCCGGAUUUUGGCACUGGGAAUUUUUUUUUUUUAUUUUGAAAAAAGAGAUAUCAUACUAUCUGUUCGUUCAAUUUUUUAAAAAAUAUAAAUUUAGCUGAAAAUAUAGAAUAAUCAGAUUUCAAAUUUAAAACUUCAGAUAUUAAUCACUAAAUUUUUUAUCAUUUGUGCUAGAAAUCUAUAUUUUUUCUAAAUUCUUCACCACAAUCAUCUAAUUUAUCUAUUUUUUCUCUAUCUUCUCUUAAUCAACUAUUUGCUAUUGGAGACUUCUUUUUCUUUAAUUCUGUUAGGAGCCACAAACUUUAUGCAGAUUCUUUGUACCAGAGCUUAAAAUAUAAUCAAGCUCUACUUCUUUAAUAAAAUGUCUUUUUUAUUUUAUUUUAUUUUUCGAAAGAAAGGUAGUAUACUUUGUAUAUUUUUUUAAAAAAUAAACUUAAUUAGAAAUAUGAAUCAAUUAGAAUUUAAAUUUUAAAAUCUAGAAAAUCGUCCAUACAAAUACUUUGCAACUUGCGUCAGAAAGGAUCAAUUUUUAACCCAAAAAAAUUUCACAAAAAGCUAAAAAUAUUUAUUUAUUUAUUAAUUUUGUGUGUGUGGAAUCAAACUUUCUAUGGAGCUAGGCCCAGUGUUCUUCAAAUUUAUGGAGUGAAAAAGCAAAGCAAUUACCAACCAAGCUAUAUAAUAGAAAUAGAUAACCAACCACCGGACCUCCGGUCUCCUCUGGUAAUGUGCAGGGACUAGUAAUCCUGACGAUCCAAGCGAAAUCCCCGUCGCUGAAGCCCCCAGCAUGCGAGCCCUCGUCCCCGUCGCGAGCGGCGGGGCCGUGCGAGGCCGUGUCCGGGGCCGAGGCGGCGAUGCUGUUCGGGGGGCUCUACCUCACGGCGCUGGGCGUGGGCGGGAUCAAGGGCUCGCUCCCGGCGCACGGGGCGGAGCAGUUCGACGAGGGCUCGCCGCGGGGCCGCGCCGCGCGGUCCACCUUCUUCAACUACUUCGUCUUCUGCCUCUCCUGCGGGGGGCUCGCCGCGGUCACCUUCGUCGUCUGGGUCGAGGACAACAAGGGCUGGGAGUGGGGGUUCGGGAUCUCCACCAUCGCCAUCUUGCUAUCCAUCCCCGUGUUCCUCGCCGGCUCGAGGCUUUACAGGAACAAGCUCCCCACGGGGAGCCCCCUCACUCUCAUCGCCAAGGUAUGGAUGGAUCUCUACCCUCUCAAACGUGUUUGCGAUCUUCUUCUUCUUCUUCUUCUUCUUCUUCUCUUGCGCUCCAUGUGUUUGUUGAAAUGGCCCAAUGGCCGUUCGCUUUUGAAAUCCGAAGGGUGAAAUGCAUGUGCAGUCCCUGUAAUUCGGCCUCCAAACGUUAGAUAGAGAGCUGAAAUUUGGGCCCACAACUGUAGAAACUGAAAUAGUUGUAUAAAAUUAAAUAUUUAAUGGGAGUCGUUCCAACAAUGGACCGCAACUUUCACCUGCUUUAAGAUCCGUAUAAAUUGCAUGAUAAACGGCCGAUCACGCAAUCUAGCGCUCGGCAUAAUGCUGUUCAAAGUUCUGUGAAAAUAGUUGGGUGCCAUUUCACAAAUUUUGGAGCAUUUACAUUCCACACAUUCAAGGCAAUCGGCGCAGCUCAGAGAACUAGGUAGAACUAGGUCUUAUAAAGUAAUAGGCUCUAAAAAUAUAUAUGUGUUUCCCUUAACUUUUUCUUUUUUAAUAAAACACUCUUCUAAGGGGAAAAAAAGAAAGUUUAUGUACUCCACGUAACUCUAUGAAUAGACCCUAUACUUUAGCUGAUACAAGAAAUUUAGUUUCUUAACUUUUCACUUAAACAUUUCACUCUCUAAAUUACUCGAAUCUAACUUACAGGUCCUAGUCGCCGCCGCGCUCAACUGUCGAACCACACAACCUCCGAGCAACGCCAUUGUCGACCGGCCGUUGAGCCCCGAGAACAGAACCGAAACAAAUGACCACAAGCAAGAAGAGCGGGAAAAUGGAGAUCAUAAGAACACAACCAUAUCAUACGCCCCAUCCGAAGAGCUCAAGUUCCUGAACCGAGCCGCGCAAAACCUCCCCCGUCACUUGCCGCUCGCGUGCACCGCAGAAGAAGUAGAAGAGGUGAAGGUAGUGUUAAAGAUCCUCCCCAUAUUCCUCUCCACCAUCAUGCUCAAUUGUUGCUUGGCCCAACUCUCCACGUUCUCCGUCGAACAAGCCGCGACCAUGGACACGCGCGUCGGCCGCCUCACCGUCCCGCCCGCGUCCCUCCCGAUAUUCCCCGUCACCUUCAUCAUGAUCCUCGCCCCGGUCUACGAUCACAUUGUCCUCCCCUUCGCGCGGCGGGUGACGAAAACCGAGGUGGGGAUAACCCACCUCCAGCGUAUCGGCACCGGGCUGGUCCUCUCCAUUGUCUCCAUGGCCAUUGCGGCCUUAGUCGAAGUCAAGCGGAAGAACGUGGCUCAAAAUGCAGGGCUCGUCGACUCGUUAGAGCCGUUGCCGAUUUCAUUCUUCUGGAUUGCUUUGCAGUAUCUGUUUCUGGGAUCAGCGGAUUUGUUCACAUUGGCGGGGUUGUUGGAGUUUUUCUUCAGCGAGGCGCCUGCAAGGAUGAGAUCGCUUGCGACCGCACUUUCAUGGGCGUCGCUUGCGAUGGGGUAUUAUCUCAGCUCGGUGCUCGUCUCGAUCGUGAACAGCGCGACUGGGCGCGGGUCACAUUGGCCGUGGUUGAAGGGUAGUAACUUGAAUCACUAUAGGUUGGAGCGGUUCUACUGGUUGAUGUGUGUGUUGAGCUCCUUGAACUAUUUGUUCUACUUGUUCUGGGCGCUGAGGUACAAGUAUAGGAGAGGUGGGGUUAGAGGAUGAUAAUAUAGUCUUAGAUUUGUUAAUGCGGAUGUGAUCGAUCGCUGAUUAGAGAAGGUGGUUGAUUAGUGAUUAUGAUUAGUGUUGCCGCUUUUUUAUUGUUGUUUGCAUAUAUAUAGUUAGCGAACUCCCAAAAAGAAGAGAUGUUGAUUUAGAAGAGAAAGUGAGUAUAAAAUCAUAAACGAUUUGGACUCGGCGCGAUGCACCGACUUUCACAGUUACGGUGCUUAGCUUGUGUUUGGUGCGUCUGAUGUUUUCGUUGAUAUUACUACUUUUUUUCUUUUUUUUUUUUCUUUUUUUUUUUCUUUUUUGUUUAAAGAUAGAUAGCACACUAUCCGCUUCGUUUAUUUGAUUUAAAAAUAAACUUAGCUAGAAAUGUUAAUCAACUAGAAUUCGAAUUUGAUUUUCGGUACCAACCACUAAACGUCCCGUAGGAGAUGCAUUAAGUCUAUUCAUUAGAAAGAAAAAUAUAUAUUUCUAAUGACCAUUGUCUGAUGAGCUUGCACAAAAUAGAAAUGGUGAGCCUUAUCACAAAAAACAAAGAAAAAAAAAGAAAAAGGUGAGCCUGUUUGGUGUGCGACGAGCUUUUCCAGCGCAAACAAUUUUGGAGAUAAAGGAAAUAAAUAAACUCGGCCAACCGAACGCGUCAUCGGGUAUAUUCGUUAGCAACCUCUCGCUAAGCACCGGGGCCGAAUCUAGGCCCAAUUACAGCCCAAACUAUGCAAUAGUGGACAUAAAGCCCAACCUAAUCUCUUUUGGGGUACAUUCGAGCCCAUAAUUCCAUCAACUAAUUGGGCAGUGGACCUGGGCCCGUUCCCCUGCUACAACGCUCGGGCCCUUCGCCCCUUCGCCUUCGACUUCGCCUGACCUUCCCCGUCCCUUCCAGGCUUCAUCGACGCGCCCAAUUCGGAAGUCGAAACCCCUUCGUGCUAGGGUUAGGGUUUUGCUGCUCCAAGGAAAGCACGGCGAUGGCCAUGGCAAUGGGCUCCGCUCCGGCGCCACCCCCUCGCCAGUUCAAGCUCGCGAGGGAGAGCGAACUGAGGGUGGAGGUGGGCGCCGCCGCCCCGCUCCGCGUCCGCCUCCUCUCCGGCACCGCAGAGAUCUUCGGCGCCGAGCUCCCCCCCGAGAAUUGGCUCCCCAUCCCUCCUCGUAGCAAGAUCGCGGUUCGAUUCUUUAACCUCUUCUUAAAUCGAUUUGCUUCAGUUUUUUUUUUUUUCCUUUUCUGUUUUUGGUGGUAAAAAUGUAUGGAGAACCCCCUCGACUCGUAGUACAUUUUGACAUUCAUUUUCUUUUUUUUCCUUUUUUUUUGAGUUAUUCUACGUAGUUAAAGUUAAUCUUUUUUGUUGAAUUUAUUGGUCCUACUACCUAUUGGUGUUAAAUAUGCUAAUUUCACGUGCUAAGGAGUCAGCUAACAAGUAAUUAAAGAUAUGAAAUUUGAUGAAUUACCCAGUGGUUCUAAGCAAAAUUCCAAUUUAAAUAACUAAAUCCACUAAAAAAAAAAUCAAUAGUUAAGGCCAUGCGGCGGUGCCAAUAAAAAAAAGGUUGAUGAUAUUGUUUUAAAAUGACCUAUAGUUGAGAAGAGUAUUCAUACAUUUUACUUAAGUUUUCUUAAGGAUUAUUAAACUGUUCUUGAGACAAAUGCAAGUGCAUGGUUCAGAUUUUUACUUGGCAUGGUGCAACGAUCGAGCUGGAUGGGAUCAGUGAGGUCGAGUAUGUGGCGGAUGAGGUGAUCCUCGUGACACAAUGCUGUUUGGAAUUGUCUUUUGGAGAUUUUGGAACUGUUUCUUUAAUCUAUUUUUAAUUUAACUGAUCCGUCUAGACGCCCAUGGUAAGCUAUGUGAAUGUUCAUGCCAUACUUGAUGGACGGAGAACUCACGCUAAGGCAUCGCAAGGCAGUGGACUGGAUGCUUCACAGGUGAGGCUCUGCCUCUUCAUCCAAGAGUUUUGAGUUUGAAUAAAUUUAUAAUUUGCUUGAUUUGGAAGCCUUGGUCAUUACCUACAUAGUUACUUCGUAUGAAAGCUGGUCUAACAUUUGAUAGAUUAACUACUACCUAAUAAUCAGGGUUAAUUAUUAAGACAAAUUAUCUUCCCCUUUUUUAAGCUUGAGCACUGACAGUCCGUGUCUCAGGGUCCUCGGGUGAUUGUUGUGGGACCUACAGAUUCUGGGAAAAGCACUUUGUGCAGGAUGCUUCUCAGCUGGGCCUCUAAACAGGGCUGGAAACCUACAUUUGUGGAUUUGGAUAUUGGCCAGGGAUCCAUUACUAUACCUGGAUGUAUUGCCGCCACACCAGUUGAGAUGCCCAUAGAUGCAGUAGAAGGAAUCCCGUUAGAGAUGCCUAUCGUGUACUUCUAUGGGCACACUACUCCCAAGUAACUAUCUGAUUAACCUUGCCUGCUUAUGUCGAUAGAUUAUUCUUUUAUGUCGAUCAGUUUGAGAUGCGAAUCAUGGUGCUCAACAGUGUUAAUGCAGAUCUUUAUAAGGUUCUUAUGAAGGAGCUUGCUCAGACACUGGAGAAGCAGUUCUCUGGGAAUGCCGAAUCUAGAGCUGCUGGCAUGGUGAUCAACACAAUGGGAUGGGUAGAAGGCCUUGGGUAUGAGGUAUUGUUCUGUAUUUUAUAGGAACCUUAAUUCAUAAGUAUAUCCUAAGAUCUAAAUAUAGUACCAUCAAUAUUUAUACAUAGCCCUGUUUUAGCGGCUAAUAUAUUAUUCAUAAUGGUUGACAUGCAGUUACUUCUUCAAGCAGUUGAUACUUUCAAAGCUAAUGUUGUUCUGGUCUUGGGCCAGGUAACUUCCUCUUCUUUCUACUAUCUGUAUUGCAACUGUAUCACUUUGUGGAAUGGGGUUUCUAAUUCAUGUUUUCCUUUCCUUUUUUGAAUAUAUAUAUAUAGUACAGAUAUAUGGGUAUGUUCCAUCAUAUAGUGAACUCUACAAAAUGCCAAUAGUUACCUUGGGAAAGCAAUUAUUUCCUUGGGACCGAAGUUUUUGACCAUUAUUGUGUUUAUUGCUUUAAUUCUCUUUUUCUGCCAAAUAUUAUCAUCAUUCUGCUAUAUAUGCCAAUAAAUAGUUCAUGUCCAAUAUGCAAUAUUAGAUCCAUCUGAUAUAUUAUUGCAGAUCUAGAAAAAACCUCACUAUCUUAUCUUUUAAGUAUCCUAUCGGUGAUAUUCUGUUUGAAUAUUUAUAUGCUCAACAAUUGACGCUGCUCCUUUGUAAGCGACCGCUAAUUGUAUGCAUAUCUGUAUACAUUUUAAAUCCAUAUAUAGCAAGUACUAUAUUCUAGCAAGCACAAAAUAUAUUUCAGUAUGCAGUUUGACUGCAUUCUCUUGAAACAGCAUCAGUAACUUCUACUUAGAAAUCUCAUCGAGAUAAUUAAUAUGAGUUAAGCGAUAAGUUGGGAGGCAUGGCCUUCUUAAGGUGGCCUUUGAUUUCAUUGCUUUCAGUGUCUCUGGCACAGGAGAAACUUUGCAGCAUGUUGAAAGAAGUACUAAAGAGCAAGCCUAAUGUAGACAUUGUGAAACUUCAUAAAUCAGAAGGGGUUGUUCUGAGAAAUCAGAAGGUCCGCCAGAAGGCUAGAAGUUUUAGAAUCAGGGUAAGUCAGAGCUUGGACAUGAUUUAGCUUGUUCUUUGUUUAUGCACAAGAUAAUUCUAUUUAUUUGGUUGAGGGCCUGAUAAGAGCUAGGCUUGAAAUUCGAGAUUAAUAGGUCUUAGUUCUCAACUUGCAACUUCUUUUCUUGUAGCAUGAUCAAUAGUUUUAUAUAAUCUGGUAUCUCAGGUUUGUAAAUAGUUGUAAACAGUUCGAGGUUGUCUGCUUCUUCUUAGACUUGGCCAAUCUAUUUUGUUUUAGAUAUGUAUACAUGGGUAAAAUAUAUAGGUAGUCCUUGUUCUUUUCUGGUACUCUGGUAUUGUGACUGAUCUUUUGCGUUUAUUUUUAAGUCCCUGACCAGUUAAAAAGAAGAAAAAAAAAUCUAAAAUCUAUUGAUUUUUAUUGUGAAAUGACCUUCACCCCCCUUUAGAUUUAAAUUAAAAUAGGUUGUUUCACAUGAGAAGGGUAAAGUCUGAAAUACUCCUUUGCAGGAAUACUUUUAUGGCCUUUCAAAUGAUCUCUCCCCACAUUCAAAUAUUAUCAAUUUUAGUGAUGUUUCUAUUUACCGAAUUGGUGGUGGCCCACAAGCACCUCGUUCGGCACUACCUAUCGGUGCAGAGCCAGUGGCAGACCCGACGAGAGUAGUUGCAGUCAACAUAAACCGGGACUUACUGCACUUGGUUUUAGCUGUUUCUUAUGCUAAGGAACCUGAUCAAAUAAUUUCCAGGUAAUAUCAUAGGACUCGCAUUUGCAAUUAUCUGUCAUUUUAACUUUCCAGCUUGUGUGACAUCUAGUAAUCGGUGGGACCGAAAACUGAGCAAUUAACAUCUGGAAAAGCAAAGCUUUUGGUAGUACAGCGAAAAAGGGAAACAGAAAAGAGGAAGUUGCAUAGCUAACACGACAGCUGGCCAUCUCACCUCUAGAUUUUGGAUUAGAAAGUUGCAACAGUACAUAUUCUCCGUACUCAUCAUUUUUCAAUGUCAACAAAUAUUUGCUAACUAUUCUCUGAAACUCCAAUGCAGCAACGUCGCCGGGUUUAUAUAUGUCACAGAUAUAGAUAUCCAGAGGUAUUUUCUCCACUGCAACUUUAUUGUACUUUUGUGCUACCGGUGUAUACUUCACUGACAAUGGUGCCUACAGGAAGAAGAUCGUUUGCCUUACACCGUGCCCUGGUGAACUGCCGAGCAAGAUUUUGGUUGUGGGAACGCUGACUUGGUUGGAAGGCUGAUACAGGUUUUAACAUUGGCAUCACCAAAUUCAAUGUUCUGGUACAUUGUCCUCUUGAGUGUGCUCGGCUAUCUCUGGCCUUACUGCAACGAGAUUGUUUGCGACAUGUAACCAUGGAAAUUUCUCUCUUCAUGAAUGCGGCAUAGUUCUGUAAAAGUGGUCAUUGCGUUUUGUGAAGUAACUAGCCAACGUAAUGCUGGACUGCUGUGAAGCCUGCGGGUUUUGUGAAGUAACUAGCCAACGUAAUUUUGGACUGCUGUGAAGCCUGCGGGUUUUUACAUACGAAAGGUUAUAUCUUUGUAAGCUUAAUAUUUAUUGCUCUAAUUUGGCGCUUUUAUGCUUUACAAGUGGUUUUCGCUCCUUAGUAGCUAAAUAAAUAGCAAGGCUGACACAAACUGACAAGCAGCUUCCAUAUGAAUUCUAAUUUGAUUAGUGUAAUUUUGCAAUGAAUCUAAAAAACAAUCUGAUUGAUAAUGUGUUUUGAGUUAAUGAGCAUACUCUAUUUGAGCAACGGUCUAAGUGAAAAGUUAAUGAGCAUACUCUAUUUGAGCAACAGUUUACCAAGUGAAUUACACCCCCAGCUAGGCAAAUGAAAAAAUACAAGAAAAUAAUAGACAGAAGAUAUAGAUAAGAUGGAUGGAACCUUUAUCUGCAGCAACAACACGGCAAGGCAUACAAUGUUUUCCAUCCUCUGCAUGUCAGAAGGUGAACGAACUUAAGGCAAGCUUGGUGACUCCCCGCACUGCGCUCGUAUGUGUUCGAUUUUUGCAAAACAUUGUAUAAAUAAAGCAAAAGACACCUACCAUCUAUUGCUCCAUUAGUCUCUCUUUAAUACAAACAGCAUUCACAGCAAAAUCCUGAGCGUGUUUAAAAUCCAACACGGGAAGAGGCAAUUAAGUAGCAACAAAUUUGGAAACAAAAGAAUAAUAGACAUCGUCUCUCUCUCUCUCUCUCUCUCAGCAUAGAGAAAUCUCCUUUUUUUCUCCUUUUUGUUUUUCUAAAACACAUCUAUAAAACAAACAACUGCAGCAAGAUGAGCAUUUCUACUGGCAGGAAAAUCAGGCAAUGCGAUUACAAAAAAUAGUCUGGGGUCUUGCGAGUCGUGUCGGGUUCAAUCUGCCGCGGUGCCGGAUCGAACUGGAGGAAGUUUUGAUCCAUAUUCUCCCCAAUCUCAAGUAUUGCUGCCAUAUUUCCGCAGCGGUAGCAGUAGUUCGGUGCACUAAAUACUGUGACUACAUUCUUGUCCUGUAAUAGAAGAAAUCAUUAAAAGCUCCAACUCGAAGAACAAAUUACAAAAUACAUCCUCGGAGCUUUAGCAGAAGUGCCGUCAAGCAGAGCUAUUUAAAAAGGCACUAAAAACAUUUUCAUUCGUUUUCUCCCAAUGAUUCCCACAAUAGAGGUUUUAAAUUGGAGCUCUUUAUUUUUGAGGUCUAGAAGCUCCUUUUAGCUUCCUGCCGUAGCGAAAGCUCCAAAAGUGUUUCACGUGUCAAAUUCAAACUUCUCUGAUUAGAGGAGCGUUCCAAAAGGUACGCCCGACCAGGCACUUCAAACAAUAAAGUCAUCUACCUGGCACCAAUUGUAACCUUCCAUGACAAGUUGGUGGGCCCUAGAGAUGAGGGAAAGGCCAUUAGUGUGGUUGAACUGUUGGGCUAUGUCUUGCCCGAAUGUGUAUCCCGCACCCCUUGGUGAAAUGCCCCACCCACACCGGUCAUCAGGAUCAGACCACAAGAGAUCGCACAUGGGUCCUUCAUGAGGAACCUACAUACAAGCGCAUCAAAUGCCAGCUGAACAAAAGCAUGCUGUCGCAUAUUGGAAUUCAUUUUUAAUCUUAAAAGGAAAUUGAUAAUCUUAUAGAAGGGCCACAUAAUUUAUGGAUAAAUUUUGUCCUAGAUCCAACCAGAUUAAGCGUAAACCUGCUCAACACGAAAGCUGCACACUGAACAAGGAAUAUAUAGUGCUGAGAAGAUUAACUAAGCUGAAAUGUUGAAAACACAAGUUUGAUAGUCCCAAGUUGCAGCAGUUUAAAAAGCAACCAAUUCAUACUACAGUCAUUUUUUUUUCAAAUAAAAUUAUCAGGUUUAAAUAGAAUGAGUUAUAUCAUGCUGAAACAGUAUGAAAGAUAAAUAAUUUUCCCAUUUCAGACUGACUUGACUAAUCACAAUACAAGUAAAUUAACUCAUAUGCAGCAUCAAGUGAACAAUUAAUCGCAUUAGUACAUUGAUGACCUAACGAGUAGACAGCUAACAACAAUCAUAGCUUUAGUAGACUAGUAUUAUUCUUAUGACACCAUGUUAAUAGUUGCGAAACAGUAGCAAGGAUGUUUAUACACUUAAUCUAGAAUUUGCCAUUCUUUUCACAUGCAACAAGCGUACAGCCUACAGUCAAAAGCAACUGGCAUUCAUACCUCCUGUAUGCGAUCAAGAGCACGAAUGUUAUCUAGUGUAUCCAAAGAUGGAGAAAGGCCGCCAUGUAAACAAAAUAUCUGCAAGAGACAAUUGUUUAUUAAUUGAGGUAUAUAUCUAGUACAAAACUGACACAGAUAUCAUGUACUAAUCAAAUAUGUGGACCUGGUUCUCAAUAAGAGCUGUAAGCGGCAGAUAGUCAAAUAGGUCAGUAAAAUACUUCCACACAUUUGCAUUCCCAUACUUUCGUAAGCAUUCGUCAUAAAAACCAUACCUGAAGAAGUCAAAAAGAAUCACUAGAAGACACCGAAAAUGCAUUAAGAGAGACGAUAGAUUUACCAUAAGAAAAGCAGAAGCAAGACAAUUCAUUAUAAAAGGACAAGAUAAAAAUGAGAAUCAAAAGAGUUUUCAUUUGACACCUAUUGAAACUUUAAGAACUGAAAGAAAACAGAAAUCAGUGACAAACCUCAAUUGUUGACACAGACAUAACAAUACGUACCAAUCUUGCCAAGAAGCGACGCGUAUAAAAAGUUGACAAAGAAAAAAAGAUACUAAGCUAAAAAAGAAUACGUGAGCUUCCUGCCAGCAAAGCAAACAGGAAAUACAAGGAAUAGACUUUCCUGGAGUAAACUUAAAAGCUGCUAUCAAUAUAGAGUUUUUGAAAAAGGACGGUAUGCCAGGAGAGUUUCUUGACUUCUCCUUCCUCAAUUGUCUAAGUUUGUGAAAUUUGUGUUGUAAGGCAGCCAUUGCAGCCAUUGUGUCAGGGGAUCAGACUUUUUAUAUAAGGACAACCAUUGUGUCAGGGAUUAGACUUUUUAUAGAAGGACAGCAGCCAUCGUAUAAUUCAUCAUUUGAACUGGCUAAUCUUCACUGUUUAAUUGCUACUGUAGCUGAAAGUCCCACUCUGCUAUGUUUAGAGUAUUUCAGUGCUCUAAGAAUAAUGAAUAGCAUCAAACUAUCACGAAUGUAGUGGUCAAUUAAUUUUGCUAGAGAGAACGACGCAUGCAUCUUGACCGUCUCAUAAAUAACGUAUAAACAGCUAAAAGAAUACAAAAAACUUACACUUGAGUUAUUUGCCUGCUCUCAUGAUUUCCUCUCAAUAUAGUAAUUCUGUCUCUAUAACGAACUUUCAAGGCAACAAGAAGUGUAACAGUCUCCACAGAAUAGUAACCGCGAUCUGCAGUAUGCAUAUCAUAAUAUGCAAUUAGCAAGACUUUGAGUCACUACGAAUAUAAUGGAAAAGUGACAAAAGAACAUAUAAUAAAUAGAUAUUAGCUUGAGAAAACAGCCUAUCUUCUUAUAUAUCACAAAGAACUUGGUUGCAUUCGCAAUCCUUUGUACAACAGAUACAUCAUCUUAAGAAAUCCAAAAGAGCCCAUAACUACAUUUUGCUUAAGCACCCCACACUAUCUCGAUGCAUAUGACAGUACAACAAAUACAACUUUGUAAAGGUCAUUGUUGGAUGCAACAAUGUGUCACGACAUUGAUCCAAUAGAGAGAAAACAUAGUGGUUAGCACGCAAAUAAUGCUAGACUCCUUAUAAUUGAGAAAAAACAGAAUAUGUAUUUGACAAUGACAAAAGGACGGUUGUGGUACAAAUGGGUAAAGUAUGUGAAUAAUGAAACGGUGACUUCAGUAUUACGUUGAUAGAAGAAGGAUGAUAGUGAACAUAAAAGAGCAGCCUGAUGUUCACAUAUUUCGGUCUUUGCGUCAUUCACACCAUCAUGAUAAUCUUAUUUACUUAAACAGAAGCUGGGAGAGGAAAUGAAUCUGUAUUUCAAAGGAAGUGAAAAUGGAGAGUUAGAGAUACAAGGAGAAAAUUAGUUGCUUCUUUUGGGCGGCACAGUUCUCAUUUCAGGCCAAGCCAAGUGGGAGGCAUCAUUUUGCACAUGCAGUACACAUAUCAACAGACUAAAAUUCGAGUUAUACACUAUUGCGGAUAAAUCUCUAAAGGGAUUAUCAUGUCAACUACAUGUUUUACUGAUUUGCACGAGGCCCUUAAAAUUUCUUCCACUGAAAGAAAUGGAGUCGCAACGUCAUAGCAACCAGAAUACAAAAAGCAGAAACUAAGAACUAAGCAACUGUCAACAUUUUGGCACGGUAUAAGUUGGCUUUCACAUAACACAGCCCCGAUAUACCUAAAUUCAUGAACUUUUAAGCUAGAAAGGACCUCUAAAUCGCGAGCUCCCGAAAAUAACUUCAUGAAAACAUUCAUAGAUAUUAAUCACAGAAGAUUCGACAAAACUACAAUCAGCUGCUCGAUUACCAAAUCCUCGCAAAAGUCACCAUUUUAGCACAAAUUAACAACCCGAAAUCUCCUAUUUAAGAAUAUGAUAACAAAUAAACCUAAAAGCAUGGAAGAUUCAACAAACCUACGAUCAGCUACUUGAUUAUCUAAUCCUCAGGAAAGGCACCAUUUUAGCACAGACUAGCAACCCUCAAUCUCCCGAUACGAGCGUAUGAUACCAAAAUAAACGUAGAAUCACAGAGAUUCCCAUCGAUUACUGAUCCGAGCGACUCACCAACGUAAUCCCCCAUGAAGAGGUAAUUGGUAUCGGGCGCGUCCCCUCCGAUACGGAACAGCUCGAUGAGAUCGUAAAACUGGCCGUGGAUGUCGCCGCACACGGUGACGGGGCACUUCACGGGCUGGACGUUCCACUCCUCCAUGAGGAUCGCCUUCGCCUGCUCGCACAGCGUCUUCACCUCCGCCUCGGGCAGGUACUUGCACUCCCUCAGGAGCUCGAUCUGGCGAUCCAGAUCCGCGUGCGACGGCAUCGUGCCCUCGGAUCUCCGCCGCCCGAUCCGCGACGCACGACGAUCGGACGAUCGAGAUCUCCCGAAAUCGCCCGAAACGGAAGGUUCCGAUCUUCCGGACGAGCGCGAUCACGCGGAUCGGAGCAUCGGUGGAGUGGAUCGGCGGGGAUUAGGGUUAGGGUUAGGGGGGAGGGAGAGUGUUAGGGUUAGGGUUAGGGUUAGAAUUGGGGGCGGGGAGUGGACGAGGAGAGGGAGGAGACGAUGGAAAUAUCCAAAUCAGAGUUCGCUUUCGCUCCUUCCUCCGUCUUUUAUAUGUUUUUUCUUUUUCUUUUUCUUUUUCUUUUUUUUUUUUUUUUGCUUUUUUUUAAAAAAAAUUUUUCGGAGUCGGAAGAAGGCAGAUCAGAUGCCUUUCCGGCCUACAGAGAUGAAGAGGCCAGAAGACUUUAAAAAUGAUAAUAAUAAUAAUAAUAGUAAUGGUAAUCUAAUAAAAAAAUGGAUCAAUAAAUUAAAUGCAAUUUUGCAAACAUAUCCCUCAGAACAUUUAAUUUGUUCCUUUUUGAAAUGUUUCUUUUCUUCUUUUGACCGGAUUCUAUGCAGGAUGAUAUGUAUGAAUCUUGUGCAUACCGUCCUAGGUGCCAUCGAAUUAGUGGUUUCUUUUUUUUAACAAAAAAAUAACAUAUUACUCAUUCCAUUUAUUUUUUUAAAAAAUAAACUUAGCUGAAAAUAUAAAACAACUAAAUUUUAAAUUUGGAAUCCCGAAUAUCAACCACCGAACUCUUUGCUACUUGUACCGGGGCCGGUCGGUCAAAUUACUAGUUUCUUACAAUUAGGUAUCGUUUGGUUCGGGGAUGAGUAAAAAGUGGGUAUUCUAGGGAUAGGUGUAAAUUGAGGUACAAGCGGGGAUUAGAUCAAUUUUAUGUUUGGAUGAAAAUUAGGUUAUUUCUGGGAAUAAGAAAAAUAAUGUUUGGUUAGGUAAGAUGGAAUAAGAAUUAAAAUAGGUAGCUAUAAAUAAAAAUUAAUAAUAUUAUCUCUUUCUUUAUAUUAGAAUUUGAAUAUGAAAAUCUUUCUUGUUAAGGCUAUACUUCCAUUUUCCUUUCUCUUAUGAGAUCCAUUUUGGUGAGCAACAUAUGAAUAGUAGUAAAAUUUUUCUGCUUUCAUUAUUAUUUAUUUAUGUCAAUACACACGCGGUAUGAUUUAAUGCACUAUCACAAAAAGUUCAUUUGCUUGGUAUAUUAAGUAGAUAUAUAUGUUUGAAUAUAGAUAGAUAUUAGUUUGUCGAGUUAGUAACUGCGCUAAUUGUUAUUUUCGUGUAGAAUUUGGUGCUGCGUAGUGCUGCUUCUUUCGACUUCUCGCUGUUGCUAGAAUAAAAACGUUCGGUGCUUAUCUUUCAAACACCCGUUGAUUAAUUUCAACGGUGGGAAGUUCAUCUAGUCUAACACAAAAUCUAUUGCAACCAAUCACUAACUUCUUGGGCCCCAUUUGAUGACAAUCAUUUUGAUCUCUUUAUUAAAUUCAAAAUUUUUGUCGCUUACAAUGCCCAAUUAAUAUAUGUAUUCAAUUCUAUUUCUGUCAUUGUUAAUUAGCUCGCACGAAAGAAAAAAAAAAUUCUAGAAAUAUUUUAUUAUAGUUUGUGGACAAUUAAUAUAUUUAUAGACGUACGAUUGUCGGUAUCUUAAAAACGUGUGCAUGACAUGUUGAAUUUGCAAAAAAAAAAAAAGAAAAAAAAAGAAAAAAAGAAAAAAAAGAAAAAACCUUGUCUUAUUAUUUCUUGACUUUUUUUUUUAUUUUUUGUAAAACUUAGUCGUCUCACACGUGUAGCUAACUUUAUUUAGCUAAUGAAUGGGGCAGAUAAUUUGCUAUCUUUUUUUUUAAGAAAAAAAUUGUAAUUAAAUAAGCCCUAAUUACAAGAUAUUUAGUUCAAAUAUGAAACAAGCUUGAUUGCAUGUAGGGUUUGCACUUGAGCUCUAUUUGGAUGUCCCAACAUAUCAUGAGACUUUUAUAAUAUGAUUGUAACUAAAGAGUUUGAUUUUUAUUUAUUUAAAAUUUUGCUAUUUAUGAUUUGGUAGGAUAUAUAGUAUAUUAAUUUUUCUUAUGAGAUAAUUUAUCUAAAUCUGAAAAAAAAAACCUUAAUUAAUGCCAAACAUGAUAUUCCAUUUUAAAUAUUUGAUCAUAUUCUUUAUUCAUCAAAUACAUAAAUUUCUUGAGUAAAUUAAGAAAAUAUAUUGAAUAAUUAUUCAUCCAAAUAGGAUCAUGAUAUUUUAGCAAAAUAUAUAAUAUAAAUUUUUUAAUCAAAUUGGAGUACAAAUUAACUGUAUAUUAAUGUGAAUCUCUUGGGUCAAGGGAUUUAGUACAUACCGAUCCUUAAAGCAACCAGAUUAAGUAACUUCUAUAGAACCAAAUUGUACUCAGCAAAUAUCCUUACUUAUUACAAGAAAAUAUAUGAUAAUUAAUUGUACUAAAAAAGGUGUAUCGAGAGAGUAAUUAAGAGGGGGUUUACAACACGGAUCUAACAUAUUAGAAACCCGAACUACAUGAAUAUAGUACGUAGCUAGAAGAGAUCAAGGAUUCGAUCGGAUUUAAAAACAAAAAACACGGAACGAAACAAUCUAUAUGUAUACCAACUAGAGAACAAUUAAUAGAUCUAUUUGUAACGCCAUAUGCAUCCAUGCAAAGCUUUCGAAAGAAAAAUGUAAUAACAAUAUUGCUUCAGAUAGUACGUAGAUUUCAUGCUAUGCCCGGUCAAUAUCCAAGUAAGAAAACCAAAAACGCUCAUCAAAAUAAGAGCUACAACUCGAUCGAUCGAUCGUCGAUCGAUCGAUCGAGAGAGAGAGAGAGGGAACCCUAAACUAUUGAGGUCGGGUUUGGUUUAGCAUAAAAUGAAUCGAAAAAUUAUUUUUGGUAUGAAAAUUUUUUUUUGCUUGUUUAGUUGGACGUAAAAAUAUUUUUCAAAUAUUUUUCUGAGAAAAUAUUUUUACGAAUUUGAAAAAAAGUAAUUUUUUUAUUUUUCGGCAAAAACAAAAACUUAAGAUGUGUAAAAACUUUUCAUAUUUUUUUUUUUACUGAAGCAAACAAAUGUGAUUUUUUAUUCCUUUCAACCAAACAAAUAUGGAUAAGAAACCUUUUUCCUUUACUACAAAGUACAAACCAAACAUUACAAAAUAUAUGGAAAUUUUUUUUUCACGUUUACGUUGAGCCAAAUGGGCCCUAAACUGGAGGGAACUAAAGAACCAACUAGCUAGUAACAUUUUCCCCAUCUUUCCCUCUCACAGAGUAGCUCCGGCAAUCAAUUAGCACCACCAGAAUCCGCCCCCAUCGUCGUCAGCUCGAUGUAAGAAUUGCUCUGCUGGUCGUUGUUGCCGUGGGCCGAGGUGACCCCAAGGAGCCGCCACUGCGGCCGUCCCACGUUGAACGUCCCGCGGACUGCACUGGCCAAGUCUCUCAGCUGCGCCAGAGUCGACGGCCAGCCCGCCGCAGCCUCUCCAUCUUCAUCACCCUCGUGGGCUGGCCCCUGAUCCCCCCAGCAGGCCCAGAUCUUGGCCCGCACGGCUGCCGCCGCUUGUUUGACCUUGGCUACUGCGGCUAUCAAGAGGGCGAUUCCGUCUUGGCCGAGCUUGCCGAGGCGGCUGCUGCUGCUCGGCUCGUCGUCGGGCUCAAUAUCGAUGUCAUCUGCGUUCUCGACGUCGGCGAUUGCCGGAGGUACCAAGCUGAUAAAAAAUUAAGUAGAGGAAAAUUAAGAUAGAGAAUGUGAUCGAUCGCACUCUCUUCUUAGCUUUGCAAUGAGACUGCAUGUGUUCGAGUACGAUGACGAGAAUAAAUGGAAGUGUUGCAUGGCAUUUUAUAAUGCGAGAUGGAAAAGCUACUUAAGUACGUGUGGAUGAUUCAGUUUGGAUGUUUGCAUGGGUAUUUUUUGACCAAUUGUUCAAUACUUGAAAAGACUUUACAAAUAUAUAUUACAAGCAUAGAACCAAUAUGUAUAUUUUUUUUAAAAAAGAAUGUAGAGAUCUAACACGAGAUAUGGCCAUUUAAAACUGAGCAUUUAAUUUUCUUUUUAAUUAAGUUUCUUAAAAAAUGUAAUUGUAUGAAAGAUAUAAAAUAACUUUAAUCAAGUUUAUAUUAAAAAAAAGAAUGGUCACCAAAGUGGAGAGAGAUGGUUUUGGCACUUACGCAGUAUCGGCCGCCACAGCUACGGCGGGUGGUUGACUGGAAGGAACAACCUGCCCGCCACCACCGCCGCCGGAGGUGAUUGUCUCAAGCCGCCGCAUCCACGGCGUGUUGAACGCCCUGGCCAUGGCUUGGUUCGCUUCGCCUUCGUCGACCUCAUCGACCGGCCCGCCACUGCCCCAGCAGGCCCUGAUCUUGGCCCACGCGAACGCUGCCGCCUUCUUGACCAGGCCAAAGGCACCGAUCAAGAGCUUGAUCGCGCUGGUGACGAACAAGCGGAAGCGGAUGCAGCAGGUCGGCCCAGUGUCGACCUCCUCACGGCGACGGUUCUCCAUGUCGGCGAUUCUUGGACGUGUCAAUUGAUGAACUGGAGAAGAAAAUUAAGAGACGGAGAAAGAAAUAAUUAAAGGAAAUAUAUAAGAAGGGAACUAGGGACGGAGAAGAUGAUGAUAACUACACUCUUCUUUGCUUUGGAACGGAGUUGUGUUCGAAUACGAGGGGAGCGAAAUGGAUGUGUUGGUCUUUUAUGGAAGGAAAGGGCAGUUGACGGAAACAGUUAGGGCCCUGUUCGUUAAUAGUUGAGUGGAAAAGCUGAUUGAUUACAUGAAUGAUUCGGUUGUAGGUUUGCAGGGGUUAUGUAUUGUUUUUGUGUAUAAUCCCGUGCCUAGAAAAUCUUACACGUUUAUUUUUUAUGCUCAUUAAUCUAUACCGUGCAUUAUCGGGCGAAGCAGAUUAACUCUACUGCUAAUGAUCAGGAGUUUUUAUUUGGACUAAUUAAAGCUUGGCUUUUUGUUCAUUAGGAAUGUGAAGAUCAAUAAUGAUUUGGGGAAAAAUUAAUGUCCAGAGCCAAUCUGAGCUAUGAGUUAUACUGAAAUACGCACUAUCUAACUUUUUAAAAUUUUUAGUUGUAUUGCACAAUUUGAGUGUUUAAGAUUGAUAGGUCGUUUAGCAAAACUAUGAUCGCAUGAAUUCAAUUAAUUACAUGUAAUUAAGUACAUUAAUUAAAACAAGUGAUGCUGUGGAUCAAAUAAUAAAAUAAAACAGAAUUAAAGAACUAGACAUAUAGUUAAAUUGAAACUUUAUAAAAAUUAGGUACUCGUUUCAAAAUGAACAGGCUAUAUGGUAAGUGUUUUCAUCAGCUAGCGAAUCAGAAAAGGAAAGGAAAAAAAAAACACCUUUAUCAACCAGGUUUUUAGCAUUUACGUACCAAAGAUCAAACUAAUUAAGCUUGGGUUUACGUACAAGAAAGACGUACAGAUCAAAUUAAGCCUGAGUAGUUCAUAUAUAAAAAAAGAAACCUGCGAUAACAACUAGAGAACAAAAAUAGACCCAUAGAUGAAUUCCUAAUGAAUUAAGGAUGCAUACAUGAAAAAGGUCUCAAAAUUUAUGUAUUAUCGCUUCGCAUAUAUAGUAUCUAUAGUUCAUUAUCGUCAAAAUUUAUGUAUUAUCGCUUCGCAUAUAUAGUAUCUAUAGUCAUUAUCAAAGCUCUCUGAAACUCAAAUUCUUGCAAGAUGUCCAAUAGUUACAAGAUCUAUCAACCACCAUUUUAGGAAACAAAUAAGCAACUGCUAAACUACUACACCGUUUAUCUAAUCUCCUCCUUCCUCCUCAACCUCCUGCAGCGGUUUCAGCACUUACACACCAACUCCCUCCAUCGCCACUGCUGCCACCAAUGCCUCUUCAUAGCUGCUGUCGCUGCUGUCGCUGCCGUCGCUGCCGUCGGAGACGAUCAGCCGGUGCCGUAGCCUCCACGGCAUGCCGAACAUACUAGCCUCUCCGCCUUCGACCCCAUGGGCCGGCCCAUGAUUCCCCCAGCAGCCCCUGAUCUUGGCCCACGCGCACGCCGACACCUUCUUGACCAGGCCAAAGGCGGCGAUUGAGAGCUCAAUCGCGUUGGCGAGAAGCAGGCGUGAGCGGAUGCUCCAGAUUGGCUCGCCAUCGAACUGGUUGAGGAGACCGUUCUCCAUGUCGGCUAUUACCGGACGUCUAAGUCGGUCCAUGGAGAACGCAGUAAAGAAAAUGAGAAGAGGGGUGAUCGAUCACCACGCUCCUCUACGCUUUGCAAUGGUGUUGUGUUCGAGAACGAUGAGGGGAGCAAAUGGAUGCGUUGCAUGGCUUUUUAUAAUGAGAAAAUCCGUUGACGGUUGGACGGUUGGAAUUACGGUUAUGCCCCUGUUCGUUAAUUAACGAGGUGAAACUUGAUAGGCUGCUUACGUGGACGAUUCCGUUGGAGGUUUGCGGGGGUAUUUUGGACCAAGUGGAGCUGAGUUCUUUGUUCGUUGCAAACGUCAGGGUUAAAAAUUUUAGGAAACAUGUAGAUAACUAAUUAUCUUAGAUACGAGUUAUUUUACAAUAACUAUUUUAUUUUUAAAUAUUCAAAUGCUAUUAUUUAAUAUUUUAAGUUUUUAUUUUAAUUUGACUAAUUUGAUAAUUCUUUUAUUGUGUAAUUAAUUUGAGAGAUAAGAUGUUCGCUUGUGCAGAAAUACUAUUUUAAUUAAGUCCAGUAAAGCAAAUGUUUCUUUAAAAACAAAUAAUCCAAGCUAAAAAAAAUAAAAUGCAGGUAUAUAUAGUAUGAACUGAAAUUAGUAAUUGUAAAAAUUAAUUAUGUUACUUGUUUUAAAAUUAAUGGACUACAUAUACAUACAUAUAUAUAUUACGUUCGUCAGCAUUUCCCAUCUAGCAAACCUUCAUCUAACUAAUAGCUAUAAAACAUGUCCAUAGAACAGAUCAAUUAAAGCUCGAGGAAAAAAAAAGGAAAAGAAAACUAUGUACGAACUAAAGGUACAAAGUAGGUCCAUUUAUUUCUGAUUAACGAUGUACACAUGCAAAGCUCUCAAGAAAAUCAGCAAAAAAUAUUACGCUUCAAAUAUAUAAUACGCAGAGUUCAUGCUGUACAUAUACACAGCGUGAGACUAAAACGAUCUGAAGCGUUCAAUAUCAAAAGUCUCUAUAAAAGAAAAAUUCUUGCAAGCUAUAGAAGAGCUCGAUCGCUACAAGAUCGACCAACAAUGCAACAUUCUAAGAGGCAAAGACAAACCCUAAACUACUAAACUGGAGGAAAUUAUAGAAACCACUGAAAACCAUUUCCUCCUCCUUCGUUCUCCUCAACCUUGACACAUGCCGCCGCCUACACAAGUUGGAUGUUAGGAACAACCCGCGCGUUGUUGCUGCUGCUUCCAGGGAAGAACCUCUGGCGCAGCCCGAGAUCCUCCCAGCAGAUCUUGAGAUCGUCCCACACGCAUGCCGCCGCCUUCCGCACCAGGCCAAACACCGCCAUCGGGACCUUGACAAUGAGCUGGCGUAAGCGGAUACAGCCGCUCUGCUCUUCGCUGUGCUCCAUGUCCGCGAAUCUUGGACGUGUCAAUCGAACUGAAUUGAUCAAAUACGGGGGAAAAAAGAAAUGGAGGUGAGAAAAGAAUUAAACGAAGGGAAAAGAGUAGAGGAGAAUGGUGGAGACGAUGACCUCUCUCUUCUUACUUUGCUCUGAAAUGGAGUUGUGUUUCGAGUAUUACGAAGGGAAUGAAUGGAUGUGAUGGCUUUUUAUAACGAGAAACGGCGGUUGACGGUUGGACAGUUGGAUUUACGGUUAUGCCCUCCUGAGUGGGAGAGCCGCUUACGUGCAUGGAUUGCGCAGGGUAUUUUCGUCGACCAAUUACAGCUCGAGUUAAUUUACGUACGUGCAAAUAUAAUUAUUUUUUUAAUAUUCUAAUAUUGUUUAGUAUUCGGUAAUCGGUAGCCCGCAGCAUAAAGGGAGUGAGGGGAUUUUCUUUUAAAAUAACAAUCCUUUUAUAAAAUUUUAAUUUCUCCCUCUACAAUUUUUAACUUUUUUUAUUUGAUCAGCUAAUUAAUUUGGUGACUUUUUUAUCGCAUAAUUUGGGUUCAUAUAAUCGAGAUUUUCUAAGCAAGCGAAUUAAACCAAGUGAUGCUUCAAAUCAAAUUAUUCAAAUUAAAAAUAAUUAAAAGAUUAAUUUUUUUUUUUUAGAGAUAGGUAGCAUACUACCCGCUUCGUUUAUUUUAUUUAGAAAUAAACUUAGCUAAAAAUGUAAAUCAAUUAGGAUUCGAACUCGGAAACUCGAUCGAGUACCAACCACCAGGUUCUUUACUACUUGCGCUAGAGAGAGUCGGUGAUAAACUUAAAAUUUUAAAAGUCAGAUAUGUAGUGGUUUCAAAAAUAAUUAAUGUACUAGUUUACGUGCAUUAGAUCACUUCCUUACGCUUCCAUGCAUUUAUUUCUAACGGCUUAUGCAUGCAAAGCUCGCAAAAUGUACGCAAUAUUGCUUCAGAUAGGACGCAGAGUUCAUGUUGAUCAGUGAUCCCAAAAAGAUCUGAAACAGUUUGUCACCAUCCAAAGCUCCGUAAAAAAAGAGCUCAAAUUCUUUGCAGAUAUGAAAGAGCCACAUUUAGAUCAACCAACCACCAUUUCAAGAAAUUAGGAGGGGAAAAAAAAAAAAACUAAACUAGUAAAACAGCAACAUUGCCUCCUGUUGCCUACGUCACAGACUCUUUUUAUACACGAUCUUCUUCAUGGUUUUUUACGUACGUACGUACACCACCUCUUUAAUCUCCUCCGGAGGCAGUUUCAGCACUCGAGCACCGCCACCGCCCGCCGCCUCUGCCAAUUGUACGGAAGGUCCGCUCUCUACAUUGCCGUCGUUAACGCAGGCCGAGCUGAGCCCUAGCAGCCGCCGCCUCCACCCCAUGUUGAACAUCUCGGGGACGACUAUCAGUUCCGCCGGUGUCGUGGGCUGGCCUGCGGCCUCUCCGCCUUCCUCGACCGCAAUGGGUGGCUCCUGAUUCCCGCAACAGGCGCAGAUCUUCAUCAGCACGGCUGCCGCCGCCUGCUUGAUCUUGGCAAUGGCGGUGGUCAAGAGGACGAUUCCAUCGUCGAGGAGCUUGCUGAGGCAUCCGUCGUCGAUCUGAUCGCCGCUCGCCAUGUCUGCGAUUCUCGGACCUAUGGAUCCAACCGAAAGGGAAAAGAUCAAAGGGAGUGAUCAAGAUGAAGAAUUAGUAAAAUAAGGAAACAAAUUAAGAAGAGAUUUGAAUGUGGAGAAGGUGAUCAUCACCGCUCUCUUUUUCGGCUUGAAAUAGAGUUGGGGUUCGAGUAGUGUUAGUGGGGAGAAUAUAUGAACGGACGUUUUGAAGUUUUAUAACGAGAAACGUACGGUUAUACCCCAGUUCGUUAUUUAAUUAGAGGAAAAUCUGCUGACGUGGAUGAUGUAGUGGAUUUGCAGGGAUGCUUUGGGGAGAAAACAUCAGUAAUUAGGAGCACCCCAUGACGUCUCGCGGGGGAGGAAUUCUACGCUGUCACACUUGCACCACGUCAUCAAUAAUAAGUCAAUCUUUUUUUUUUUCAAACAAAAGUACAAUAAAAAUACUUUUUUACAAUCAUGAUGGGACAUAUAUUCUUAAAAGAAUUAAUUUGAUUGAUUUGUUACGCCACGUCACUAAUAUACCCGUUGCAUUCUAGAAUUUUUCCUCGCGGGGAGCUCCCGAUUUACUGUAGCAUAUUACGUUUGUUUCCAUCCAAAUAUUUAUUGAAUAUACUUUUAUAUUAUUUUUUAAUUUUAUUUAAAUUUAUUGAUACAUUAUAGCUUAUCAGAAACUAAUUAACUAGAAAUCGUCCGAGAACUCUGUGUUAAAAUUUUGUCCCUACUGGAGACUGCAUAAAAUUGUGUAAUUAGGAAUGCAAGUGGUUAGAUCUAGGGGAGAAACUCUGCCCUGCCUCCCGAUCCGACUACAAAAAUUUCAUCCUGCCUCCCGCCCCGAAUUCAUGUAAGAUUAAAAAAACUUAUCUCAUAUUCAUCCCGCCUUAAUUAUCUCCUAGCUUUGUCGGCAGUCUGAAUCGAUUCCACUAACUAAGACUUCAUUUAGAGUUGUGGAAAGAUUGCAUUACUCAAUAUUAAAUAUUUACAUUUAAAAUAUUUAAAUUUAAAUUAGAAUAAUUUUGUAUUAAUAUUUAAAAAUAAUAAUAUUAAAAAAUAUUUAAAUUCAACAUAUUUAAUAUAUUUAAGAAACUUUUAAAUUUCUUUAGUUUGACAUUAAUUUUGUUUUAAAUUCAAAAUAUUUAAUAUGUUCAACAAAAUUUUGAAUUUUUCUUGUUUAGACGUUAAUUUUGUAUUACUAAUUUAAAAUUUUGAAUGUUGUCAAAUAAUUUGAAACUUUCUUACAUGAAAUGACAAAAUAUAUGCAGAUCUGGAGGAAAGAUAGAGAGAGAAAAAGAAGAGAAAAAUAGAAAAGAGAUUUUGUAGUAGAGGUAAAAUUACAUAAUUAUUCACGUAAUAAAUGACAAAAAUAUUCCUUAUUAGAGUACCUGGUAAUCGGUACCUCUCUCAAAGUGACAUGCUAUUGCCGGUAGGGAUGGCAAUCCAGCUUGCUAUUCGCGAGCCAGCUCAUUUUCGGCUCAAAAUAAGCUUGAGAUCGAAUCGCUCGUUUAGUAAACAAACCGAACACGAGCUGAAUUUUUCACCUCGUUUAAUAAACGAUCCGAAUACGAGCUGGGAUCAGCUCGCUCGUGUUCGGCUCAAUAACAUGCUAUUCUCGAUCCGACUACUAAAAUCCCGCCCUGUCUCCCGUUCCGAAUUCGUGGAUUAAAAAGAUUAUCUCAUAACUCGCCCCGCCAUAUAACUCGCCCCCGUCGGCGCCCCGAAUUCGUCCCGCCAAUUAAUAUUUUUUUUACUAGCUAUAAUAUUAUCAAUAUUUUUGUAAAUAUAAAUCAAUAAUUUUUUUAAUAAAAACGAAUAAUAUUGUUAAGUUAUAUAUAAUUAAUAACAUCAAUUAUGAAAAUAAAAAAUAUCAAUCACAAUUUUUCGCACCCAAAUUCAAAAGUGUUAAAUACAUAUAUGCGAAAGAAAAAUGUUUACUAAAAUUAUAACACCAACUUAUUUAUAGAUUUUUUUUUUUUUGUAGAUGUAUUAUUUUCAAGGGUAUUUUUUUAAAAUCAUAAACGGGUACCGUUAUAAAUUUUGGGUGGAUUCAGAGCAGAUCAAAAUUUCUCUUAUUUUCUGCCCCGGAUCCGUCUUCGAUCAUAAUAGUCACCUGACUUUCAACCCUAAAUUUAUUUAUUUUUCUUCAUUUACUGUCUCAUUCAAAACAGAGCGGAAGUUCGGAACAAAAGCUCCACCAACCACCAUCCAUUUGCAUCCCUAUGCAUCCCUGUGUAAUCUGACUUGUGUGACUAUUUGUUGCCUGCACCUAGUGCAGCGUUAUCUUAUUACACCAAAUCCUUAUCCGUAUAUUAUAUCUCAUCCAGUAUUUUGAUAAUUACCACUAAUUAAUUAGAUAAUCGAAACUUUUUAAAUUUAAAACUUGGAUGUAUAAUUGGAUUGGAUAAAUGUAACUAUAAAAGCUAGUGUUAGAGGGCGCGAGCUUACUCCGAAAAUAUAGUACCUCCCCUUUAUUAAUUUUAUGAUGAAGGCUUAAAGAGCUAUCUCACUCUUGAAACUGCCAAGGGAAAAAAAAAAAAGGUAAUGGUUGAUACAGGCAGAGUCCCAAUUUAUUGCAUUAAGUUAAAUUCUAAUGCCAACAAUUUGGUACUUCCUACUUGUAAAUUAAACAAUUGAGAAGCAUUCUAAUUUGGUACUCAUUAUUGCAAGUGCGUUAUUGGCGCAGUGUAACGCGGAAAGACCACCAGCGAGAGCGCAUAUACACGACUGUAUUAACUGCUCUAUAGAGAAUGGACCCCAGAAAUUCGAUUAUAUAUAUAAUAUUAUAUAUAAAUAUAUAUAUAUAUAUAUAUAUCAUAUAUAUAUAUAUAUGAACACUAUAUUACUUGCUAUUAAUUAGAUAUCAAUCAUUAGUGCCUAAAAAUUUUUGGCCAUUAGAUUAAAAGCGAUUGGGUGCAGUUAGGAUUGAUGUGGCUCUAGAAUUGAGGUGGGGUGGGUAGUUGAAUUUGUAUGAUCUAAUCGAAUAAAAAUAAUCAAAAGAAUUUAAUCUUCAAUGAGACGAAAAAUUUGAUAGUACAAAGCAUACGUUUGUGCUAUCAAUAGCGUAGUAACCGAACUCUCCUCUCCUUCUCUCUCUCUCUCUCUCUCUCUCUCUCGUCUCUCUCUAUAUAUAUAUAUAUAUUAUAUAUAGUUUUGAGCCUAGAAUACUCUCAGAAAGCCCAUAGGCGAUAGGGUGCCUUUUGAGUUUUUUAGCCAAUUGGAUGGAGAGAUGUGAGCGGUUGGAGAUGAUGGGUGGUAGAUGUGCGUAGGUGGAAUAGUGUUUUGAUCAAGCGAGCCAUUAGUAAUCAAGGAGUAAAUCCAAUGGGCCUUAAAACCUAAUAGAUCAUUCGGGAUUGAUACUUGUAAAAAUAUUUCGUAUUCUCAAUUAUAUAUAUAUUAUAUUAUAUAUAUAUAUAUAUAUAUAUAAUAUAUUACUGAACUUCCAUAAAACAAAUUGCAGAUCGUCCAAUCAUAAAAAUGCGACUUUAGUAAAAAUUUUCAUAUUAUAUAGUAAAAGAGUUUAAAAGUAAAAUUUUCCCGCUCACUUCAAUUAAUGAAUAUACUUAUUAAUGCUUUAAAGAAAUAGCUUCAGCCAGUGCCAUCGCAUCUAUUUAACAAACGGACGAAGGAUAAGGUAUUUUAGUAUGAACCUCACAUAAUUAAAUAAAGAACUAGGAAACCAAGUCACUGAGACAGAAGACACACCCAACAAGAGAACCUUUUAUUUUAUUUUGUACUUUUCACUCAACACGCUAUUAACAGACUCUGAAUAACACAGCAAAAGCAGCUAUUUAAACAACGACAAACGCAUUCCACCUUGGCAGAGCAUCCUCCUCACGCUCAUUACACUCGCAACACCACCUCCAUUUCCCACAAUUCUCUCAGGUUCUCUCUCUCUCUCUCUCUCUCUCUCAGUUGACCUUGACCUCGAUGCUCUUCGGCUUCUUCGGCUCCGGCGGGGGCAUCCUCUCGACGGUGACGGUGAGCACCCCGUCCUUGUACGACGCCGAUAUGGAGUCCAAAUUCGCGUUCUGCGGAAGCGGGAACUUGCGCAUGAACUUCCCCAUCCUCCUCUCCAUCCGCAGGUACUUGCCUCCUUCUUUCUCCUUGUCCUUGUCCUUCUCCUCUCCCUCCGCCGCGCCCUUCUCCUCCUUCUCCCUCCUCCUCUCCCCGCUUAUCACGAGCACGUUGCCCUCCUCCACCUGCACCUUGACGUCGCUCGGGUUCACCCCGGGCAUGUCCACGGUGAGCACCAGCUUCCCCGAGGGGAGCUCCUUCACGUCCAUGGGGGUGUUCGCCAUGGCCUUGCGAUCGCGCACGUACGCGCGCGUCGGCGCGUUGAAGGCCUUCUCCACCUCCUCCGGGAUGUCCAUCAGUUGCUGCAGCGUCGAGAAGAGCAUCGGGUCCUCGAAGCCCAUCAUCACCUCCAUCAAUGGCGAUCGAAUCGCUCGCAAUCUAAUGUAGGGACUUUUUUUUUUUUUUUUACUCUCGAUUCGCUAGGGUUUUCGUAGCUGUGCGAUUUGGGAGAAAGGGCGAGGUGGGGGAUUUAUACGGGGAAGGGGAAAUUUCUAGAGAGGUUUUUCCUUUUCCUUUUUCAGAAAUUGAAAGUGGUUUAAACUUUUUUUUUUUUUUAAAUUGAUCGAAUUGUAGAAGAGAGUGGAGCGACGGAAGGUUCUGAGAGCUUCUCGUAACUGUCGCCACGUCGUAGGAGGUUCGAGUCUAUCGGUGCCACGUGCGAUACACGUGGCCCCCUCCCAUAUAUUUUGGGCUGGAUACGGCCCACCAACUGCCCAUUAAGGCCUUUUAGGCCUUGGUUAAUUAGCCAAUGGGAAUUGGGAGGUCAUGGUUGGGCCUAGCCACUGGGCAAAGUAGGCAAGGCCGAUUGAAUAGGCCCAUGUAGGCCCGAUCCAUAAACUAGUUUUCAAUAAUAGUGGGAUGGAUCCGGGUCUAACUUGGUCAAUUUUAUACUCCGUUAUUGGGUCGGGUCGAAUUGUUGAUCCAGGUUGGUUUUGGUAGAGUCCACUCUUGCGAUCCAAUCUCCAAUCAUGCACGGGACCAAAGCCAAGUCCCUAGCUACUGACCAAGUUUAACACAACACGCCAUUUUCAAGUAACAAUACAAGAAGAAGAGGAGGAGAUCGAAUGAGCCGUGCAAGAUUUUGUCCAUUACUCGUGAUCAUCAGUGUUAAUGCCAUGCACGCAUAGAAUUUUCUUGACGUUGGAGCAGUAAAUUACAGGUUCUAAUUGCCUAUGAUCCAAGUUUGAGCUAGUGGAUUAAAAAAGUACUAAAAGAUACUCAAACGACAUAACUAAAAUGCUCUUUGGUACAAUAAUGGCAGAUAUAUUAUUAUUAUAUAUAAUAUAAUGUCACACGAAGAGACCGAGGAAUAAAGCAUUCACUAUAGUUUUGUGUGGAAGGCAUUCAAUUAUUGACUUACUAUGUCCAUUCACGCUAUAAGGAAUUAAAAACAUAAAAUAAAAAGCUACAAAGUGCAUGGCCUAUCCCUAACGAGAAUCAUUCGAAGCGUAAGGAGCGAGAGUGAAUGAAGUGCCACUUAAUCAAGGCUCUUUAUUCCCAUAACAUCGUCGCUAUGUAAGUACAAGUUAAUUCCUCUCGAUGUCAUGUCGUAAGAAAUUCGCGGCCCAUAGUGCGUUCCUUCGUUAUUAUUCUGCUGCAUGGGUAAUCUUUAUGGCAAGCUCAUGCACUGCAAACAACUACUUGAUGGGCAUCUGUUUGAGGUGAAGCUCAGCUUAGAGAAAUCUUAUUUGCUUUAUGUAUUACGUACACAGGUUUUAACUUAAAUUUUUUAAGAAAAUUUAUGAUACUAUACUCAUCAAAACCUGCUGUAUUCAUUCUUUGUACUCUAGCCAGUUGAUUGCUCGACUUACAUUUUAUCAUCUGUUUAUUUCAUCUUGAUGUACUUUUGUACGUUUUAUGAGCUUUGCUCAUUGUGAUGCCUCGCACACGAGUAUGAACUGGGUUAAAAAAAAAAUAAAUAAUUAUUAUUAAUAUUUUGAAAAAAAACUAAAUAUUAAAUAGAAAACCUGAUCUUUUCCAGCUUAAUGUCAGUUGGAAAGGAGCGCCCUGAGAUUCAAUCUAAAUGAUCGAGUGGUUAAGUGGAAAUACUCUCCGCACUAUUUCAUAUUUACUGUUAGACUUCUAUUUCAUCUGCCUAAGUCAAAAUUCUAUUUCGUAUUUAAUAUUGAAUUAUUAUUCUCAACAACACGCAUGGCAAGAAAUUCUUACCACUCACAAGUGAUAGCCUCCGUCCAAAUUCAUCAAGCUACCGAAUCGUUUUACUCCCCUCGAAUUGAAUUAUAUGCUCACAUGAAUGAAUGUGUAAUCGAACAAAAGUGCUUCUUGUGAUUAGUUGCCUCUGUUUCAACCAGUGCAGUUAGAUAAAUUAGGAGCAAUUUCAUUAAAAUCCACUUCCUCCAUCUACAUCAAUUUUUUUUUUUUUUUUUUUUUUUUGAGAACUAGGUAGCAAGCUAUCUGCUUCAUUCAUUAAGCAAAAUGAAUUAGGCGUACAUGAUGGAAGCAGCUAGGGCCUCCUAACCGUGCCAUCAAAACUAGGAAAAUCAAAAAUAAACCAAAAAAAUAAGUCCGUAAAACGGGAAAACUAAGAUAGAGCAAACGGAGGAAAACUAAGUAAACACGGGUAAGAGAACAAAGGAAUUGAAACGAGAUUAAUACCACGACUUCAAAUAACUUCGGUCUAAUCUUUGAUCAGAGCCGCGACUUGUUCGAGAGCCCGGGAGGCGUUGGGAGACCCGUUUCGGAAGAUGAUCAUGUUUCGCUCCGUCCAAACGACCCACCAGAUUGCCACCAACUGGAUUAGACUUUUCGAUCUCAUUACGGCGUUGGAGUUGUUUGAGAUCCGUGUUGAUAACCGCCGAACAUCCCCCGCGUCCGACUCAACCUCCACUGAAACUCCGGCCUCAAUUCGAAGGCAUCUGACGAAAAUACAUUUACGAAACAUGUGGUCGCAGGUUUCAGCUAGUAACACACAAAACAUGCAGUGCUGAUCCACAGGACUCCCUCGGCGAAUUAGUCUGUCCGCUGUAAGUAAUCUCUUGCGCAAAAAGAGAUUUACCGGUAAAAUUUUGAUUAGCAGUCCAUCGCCACAAUAGCUUAUCUUUUGUGCCCAAUGGGCGAUACUGAGUGAGCAGGUUUUUUAGCAACGUGAUAUUUUGGCGGUUCUGGGGAUUGGUAUUAGUAGUGAGGCCUCUGGUUAUGAAACGCCAUCUCCACCCUCUUUCAUUCCAGCAUUGUGAGACUGUGACGUCUUGAUUCACGAUUCUGCAAAAUACUCCAGAAAAUCAGGUGCUAAGAGGGAUUUCUUUGAUCCAAAUAUUCGUCCACCACCUGAUGUUUUUUCCAUCGCAAAGCACAUACGAGAUUCCGCAUUUGAACAUGUCUCGACAGCUCAUCACGUUUCUCCACCACUGAGAGUAAGGUCUGAAAGAUCUUCCCUCGUGUAACGAUUUUUUUUCUAGUGUAAUACAAAGCUGUGAGCAAUCUCCCCCAUAACAGGUGUCUCUUAUUGAAAAAACGCUACCACCAUUUAGUUAAGAGUGCCUUAUUCAUUAUUCCAUAUUUUUGAUCCCCAGACCUCCUUCUCUUUUACUUUUACAUAUUGUUUUCCAACCAACGAGACAUGAGCCAUCUGAAAUUUUGGAGCAUCCUUUUCAAAAGAAGGAUCUUCUAAGGGCUUCUAUACGGUUCAGAACCCAUUGUGGCACUUUGAAAAUUGCGAAGUAAAAAAAUAGGAGAUUCGAAAGUACCGAAUUGACUAGGAUUAAUCUGCCUCUUUGUGAAAGUAGUUUUGCCUUCCAUCCUUCGAUACGCAUCUCUAUACGGUUAACGACCGGAGCCCUAAACCCUAAACCCAUCUACAUCAAAAUUUGAACUUACGAUUCUGCGUUUUUAGUUUUACUUUAAAAGUUAAAUAUUUAACUGGACUAUUUUUAAUGGGUAUCCGCUUACCAGCGGUAUUUAUUGAACUCGCCCGAUAUAAUUAUAUUAUAUUUAUAACGGGUUUUUAACUCGUAUACGUAUAAACGGAAUCUUUGGAAGUUCGGAUAAUCCGAGAUACAAUUUUCACCCCUCUAUAAAACCGCCUCCCCAGGGGUUCCUGAGGAAGAUACGGCGCUGGACAAUGGCGGAGGAGCAAAACGUCGAACAGUUUAAGGGCCAAGCGCGCCUCCCCAAAUUCGCAGCCCCAAAGCGCUACGACCUUUUCCUCAAACCCGAUCUGGCCUCGUGCACAUUCUCCGGAUCCGUACGCAUCGCCCUCGACGUCGUCGGCCACACCCGGUUCCUCGUCCUCAACGCCGCCGACUUGGCCGUGAAGGAGGGCUCCGUGUGGUUCCGGAGCUCUUCUUCCUCCGAGGUGAUUCUCCGAUCCAGAUUUAGUAAAAAGGUCUCAUUUUUAGGGUUUUGAUCGUUCUCAGUUUCGGUCGGAUUGGUUUGCGCUAGGAGAUUCGCCCCGUGGAGAUUGUUGCUGUGGAAGGAGAUGAGAUUCUGAUCAUUAGGUUCGAUAGACUUCUUCCUCGAGGGGAGGGGGUUUUGGGGAUUGGGUUUCAAGGGACGUUGAAUGAUAAGAUGAAGGGCUUCUAUAGAAGGUAAUAAAAAUUCCCCCUUUUUCUGGGUUCUCACAAAUUGCUGUUCUGCUGUAAAUCUUCUAUAUUUCCCCUCUCCGCUGUGUAGUACUUAUGAAUACAAGGGGGAGAAGAAGAACAUGGCGGUUACUCAGUUCGAGCCUGUGGACGCUCGCCGCUGUUUCCCUUGCUGGGAUGAACCCGUUUGCAAGGUUCGUGAUCAACCAACAUUUCAAACAUUUCAAUUCGGAUUGGAAAUCGUUUUGAGUUCUGCAUAGGAUCGUGGUUAGAUAUGCCCCUAUAUUACUGAAAUGAAAUGAAAAAAGGAAUUUUUAUGCAGCGAGGUCUGUUUGCUUGAUAAGUUCAUUACACCAAGCCUCAAGGAGAUGUCCACCCUCUACGACUUGCUAUUUAUGCUAUUAAUCAUAUUAUUUUGGGCAUGAAAAGAGAGUAAUUGAAACCUGUAAGAGUUUAUAUUCUGCAGGCUACAUUCAAAAUAACACUGGAAGUUCCCUCUGAGCUGGUCGCGCUGUCAAAUAUGCCAGUCGUCGAUGAAAAGCUGGAUGGUCCUAACAGGAUUGUCUCGUUUGAAGAAUCACCGAUUAUGUCGACUUACUUGGUAGCUAUUGUUGUUGGCUUAUUUGACUACGUGGAAGCUUCGACAUCGGAUGGUAUGGGCCUUGCAUGUGAAAGAUUUCUUUAAUCUGCAUUAUUUUUUUUUCCUUAUCAAUUUUAGUAUUAAUACCAUGAUCAAUGCGAUAUUAAUCUCUUUCCGUUGUUUUCAUUUUUAUUUUAUUUUUUUUAUUUGCUCCAGGGACGAAGGUUCGUGUCUACUGUCAAGUUGGUAAGAGUAGCCAAGGAAAAUUUGCCUUGGAUGUUGCAGUGAAGACGCUGGAUCUGUACAAGAAGUAUCUCCCUUUUUUCAUUUCUUGCUUGAUUGUUGUUAAUCAUCUGAUUGCCUUAGGUUUCACUUUGCUCACUGUUGUGGUAUUUCUAAGACUCUAAUUUUAUUAUAUUCUGACGCUACUUCAAAAAUUAAUGGGUCCAUUUGUAACAGUCAUGUAGCAAUCUUUUCUCAAGGCCCACAAAAGAUGUUCCGUAUGGGAAGCAGUCAAGGUAACCAAGUGUUGGCAGCCGACCGCUCAAUUAAAAGACUUCCUUAGUUGGAUAUGCUAUCUUAUGAUAAUCAAACGAUUACCUGCAUCAAUGGGCCAUAAGACCAGUAUCUCAUUGAGAUGGCUAAAAAUAGUCCCUGCCUUGUGCUUAAGCAAUUCCCUCUUUUUUGCUUGCUCUUUUCUUGUGCUCUACUUUGAAACCUUUUCAGGUUGGGAGAAUUGGACUUUGCUCCCUCUUUAAAUUUUGAGUGUCUGAUCAUACAAUUCCGAAUAUGACGUCAGACCAUAGUAUUGAAGUCAAGUGCUACCACUGUGACUUUAAUGAUGUUCCAAUCAAUUUACACAGCUCAGUGUAAUAUAUAUUGGAUAUGAAUAAUUAAUUUCCCAUUAAUCUAACCUUAUUACAAAUAAUAUAGCAUGCUUUGAAACAAAUUAUUUUACUGUUUGUGGAUAUAUUUUUUAUAAACUACAUGUUGGCUUGUUAACACUUGGACAAUUUGAACUUUUCUGCUCCAUUCUCUCUUGAUUUGAUUCGAGUUCAUAAUUACGGUUAAUAUAUCCAAAUUUGUUUGCAGCACUAGGUGCUUUUUAAUUCUAUUUGUUUGAACUGCAAAACAUCUUUCAACGUAUCGGUAAAGAUUUUGUUACUUUUAGUUAGAAUAGUUGAAGCAUGCGCGUUUGCACAAAAAAGGGAAAAUUAACAUUUUGUUGUGAAUUUUGAUAAAUUAAUAAUUUUUUUUGAUCAUUUGACAAAAAAAACAUAGUAAAUUUAGUGAAAUUUGGUAUCUAUUAAGGUUAAAUUAAUUUGAAAUUUUAAAUUGAAUAGGGUGAUAAGUUAAAAAAUUAUUGGAGGCUAAAAUCAAAUAGAUAUUUACAAGGGCAUUUUAAGUACAGGUGCAAAUGAUAAUAUUGAAUGAAAAGCUAUGAGAAUAUUUUAAAUAUAGGUGUAUUUUCGGAAUAGAUGGGUAUUUGGGAAGAAAGCUUGAUAGACCCAAAACUUCUAUUCACUUUUCUAUACAUAGAAUAGAUAUUUCAAUAGGGCACCUUGAUAAUUACUUGCAAAAUAAUAUAUAACUUUUUCAGGUACUUUGCUGUACCUUACCCGCUUCCCAAACUGGACAUGGUUGCUAUUCCCGAUUUUGCUGCUGGAGCUAUGGAGAAUUAUGGUUUAGUCACUUACCGGGAAACAGCUUUGCUGUUUGAUGAUCGUCACUCAGCAGCCUCAAAUAAACAACGGGUGACUUCCUGUUUUGAGUUAUAGCAUUUUAAUUGUUAUUCUCAAAUCUCAAUCCAUUCAGUUCAAUAUUCUGUUGCUGUUCAGCUUUAUCACGUACAAUUUAACAAUUAAUUGCUUUGAAUUUUACUUCACUAUGAAACUGGAAGGAAUUUUUAAUAUUUUACCUUUAAAGAUGUUUGACCGCAUUCUUACGGACUUAUAUGAAUGCUGCAUUGUUCUGUAUCAGGUGGCAAUUGUUGUGGCACAUGAAUUGGCUCAUCAGUGGUUUGGAAAUCUUGUGACAAUGGAAUGGUGGACCCACUUAUGGCUUAAUGAAGGUUUUGCAACUUGGGUAAUUUGCUAGAGGAUAUCUUUUCCUGUCACUGUGAAUCCUUUUAUAGAAUGAUUAUUGAAUUUAAUAAGCUAUUUUAACUUACUUUUAUAGGUGAGUUAUUUAGCCGCAGAUUCCUUAUUUCCUGAAUGGAAUGUUUGGACACAAUUUCUAGAUGAGACUACCACGGGAUUAAGGUUGGAUGCACUUACAGAAUCACAUCCUAUUGAGGUAAAGAUCUUUACCAUAAUUACUGGCUAGAACAUCGAGGGCAGUAAGAUAGUUUUUCAUAUAAUCUUAGGGAAUCGAUAACUAUUACUUUGUUACUACUUGAAUCAGCUAUGUGUACAGAAUAUCUCACUGGAAUUAAUACAUAAUCAUGCUUGGACUUAAUACUAAAAUGGUUAUUUCAAUAAUCUAAUAGAUAAAACAAUCGUUGUCCUAAUAUCAAUGGUAAUGCUGUAUUAAUUUCCCAGACUUCGUAUUUAGCUUUUGCUCUUCUUUUCGUUUUUCAGGUUGAUAUAAAUCAUGCCAGCGAAAUUGAGGAAAUUUUUGAUGCAAUAAGCUAUAAGAAAGGAGCUUCUGUUAUUCGUAUGCUGCAAAGUUACCUUGGUGCUGAAUGCUUUCAGGUUUGGCAGUUUCAUUUCUACUUUGUCCUUCAGCUUGUUGUUUCUCAUUUAUCUAUUUUGCGUAUUCGCAUAAUCCAUUACUAGCAUUCCAACCUUAUUGUUCAAUACUAGCAUUCCAACCUUGUAGUUUUAGUGCAGAGCUUCAGUUGGUCAGAUUCGCAUUGUCCCAUGAACAAUACUUUCUGUUGUUACCACAGUUAUUAUUCUUUUUAAUUUGAUAGUACUGUCUCAUUAGUUUUGUUGAAUUUCAUUCAGAAGAAAGCUGCACACAUCAGUACAAUGUCAAAUGUUGGUUGUGAUUGUUACUUAUGGUACGUCCUAGUUGCUAUUCUGCAGUCAAUGAUGUAUCAUCAACAUUAAAGACAUUUAUUAUGAAUUUCCUUCUACUCUCUUUCACGCACUCUUUUUCUCCCUAAGCCUUCAUGGAGUAUUAGGUUGUUGCAUAUUUUAUACCUUUUCUUUUCCUAGCUGUUUAAACUUUCAGAUUGGAAGUCUUAUCAACGUGUUAUAAAUUUUUUCAGAAAGCGUUAGCUUCGUACAUCAAAAAAUUCGCCUAUUCGAAUGCGAAAACUGAAGAUUUGUGGGCUGUUCUUGAAAAGGAAUCUGGUGAACCAGUGAAAAAGUUAAUGCACUCAUGGACAAAGCAGAAAGGUUAUCCUGUUCUUUCUGUAAAAGUGAGAGAUGGAAAUUUGGAAUUUGAACAGGUACAUAUUUAUACUGUUCUUUUCUAAGCUAUCAAUGUCUUUUUAAAUCUCAAUGGAUAAACUGUGAAUAAAUUGAAAAAUUUAAGAUGAUCUUAAACUCUGUAUAUGAUGCCGAUAUUAGAGCUCUUAUUUCCAUGUUGCGAUUGUACUAUUUAUCUCUGUUGGUUAGAUUGCGAAAAGUUAAUUGUUCUAGACUUUCCACUGGUAUAAUUUUCACUUCACAGAUUGACUUGGAAAUAUAUACUAUGUUGCUGCAUGUAUGAAGUGUUAGUCAUUCACCUUUCUUGAUUCACAAUGAGAAUCACUGUUAGAGUUUGACUUAUGUCAUGCUUUCUCAUGCCAUAACCUAUCAUAACAAAUUUUACUGCUCUCUCUCUCUCUCCCCCUUUUGUAUCACAGUAUAGCCUGCAUUGGAGACGGUCGUUAAUGCAAGACACUCUUAAGAUGUUUAUUCAUAAAAUUUAUGUUACAAUAUUAACUGUUUUUUUAAUCUAUUUAAUAAUCUAGAUUGUUAAACAGCACUAUAAUAACUGUCCUUUCUUUUCUACCUUCCCUUUUUCCUUUUCUACCUUCCCUUGCAGACUCAGUUCUUAUCAAGCGGAUCCUCAGGAGUUGGACAAUGGAUUGUCCCUAUAACAUUAUGUUGCUGUUCAUAUAAAUCUCAGGAAAAGUUCCUGCUGGAAACAAAAUCUGACAAGAUGAAUUUAACUAAGCUUUGUGAUUCUUUUGAUAGCGGUAAAGGCGGAAAAUUCUGGAUAAAAGUUAAUGUCAAUCAAACUGGGUUUUAUCGGGUGAACUAUGAUGAUGAACUUGCUUCUAAACUUCGAUAUGCUAUAGAGUCCCACCAGCUUACUGCAACAGAUAGAUUUGGUAAAUUAAAUAAAAAAUACCAGCUAUCUUUUUUUCUUUUCCUUUUUACUCGCUAUAACUUAUUAUUUUCAUCUAUUCUUGUUGUAGGUGUUCUUGAUGACUCCUUUGCCUUAAGUAUGGCUUGCAAGCAGACACUGUCGUCUUUAUUAUCUUUAAUGGCUGCUUACAAGGAGGAGUCUGAAUACACUGUGCUGUCACACAUAAUCACUGUAAGUGUCGAUCAUCUUGUUUUAGUUUGAUUGGUCUCAAACUAAUUGCACCGUUGUUUUGUUUAUUUAAUUACAUUUUUCUCUGCCUUGACAGACAAGUUACAAGGUUGUUGACGUGGUUGCUGAUGCUGCCCCAGAAUUGGUAGAUGACAUCAAAACAUUCUUUAUAAGCCUUCUCCAAUACCCUGCAGAGUAAGAUUGUUGCAAGCCAUGGAUUGCAUAACUUCUUUUUUUCCUAUGAACUCAAAAAAUGAACCGAUAAUUAAAGAAGUAAUAUGCAAAAGGAUUUCGUUUUCUCAAGUCAUUGUUUCUAUAGGGCUGUUAUUGUGCAUGUAUUUUGAUGUCUUGAGCUACUAUGGAAAUAGUUUUAUUAUUUCUUAAUAUCAAACUGAAACCCCAAUAUCUUAACUUUGUUGAUAGCAAAAUGAUGCUAUUUUUGGCCUGACCAACAUCUUUAUUUUUCUAAAAUACAAGAUUUAUGGAUUUUAGGGCGUUUUCUGUGCUACAUCUUUUUAUACUUUACUGUAUGAGAUAUUCCUUCUGGGCAUCUUUGACGAAAUUACUUUAUGGACUUUGACAGGAAGUUAGGAUGGGACCCAAAAGAUGGUGAAAGCCACUUGGAUGCGAUGCUAAGAGGGGAGAUUUUGACCGCUCUUGCUGAAUUUGGGCAUGAUAUUACAAUUAAUGAAGCAGUCAAGCGUUUUCAUGCCUUUAUGGAAGAUAGAGAUACAUCUCUUCUCCCUCCAGAUACACGAAAGGUUCAUAUUUGGCUUGAUUCCUAAUUCCGACAUUGCCCCCAUAAUGUCCAAUUGAAUUUUUCACCGCCAAGUUGUUUUUCAUAGGCUGCAUAUGUUGCUCUGAUGAAGACGGUGAACAACUCGAAUAAAGUAGGAUAUGAAUCUCUUCUGAGGAUUUACAGGGAAACUGAUCUGAGCCAGGAGAAAGUCCGUAUCUUAAGUAUGUUCAAGUUACUCAUACUCUCUUUUUUAAGGACAUGGCUACAAAUAUAUCUUUGAUUUUCCUCUAUUUGGCUUUUACAUACAUAUAUCCACACAAAAUCACCUGGUUUCCUAUAUACAUAUAUCCCGUUGGUAUCUGAAUUUUUCAUGCAGUUCUCUCAAAUGUCUUCUUUCUUAAAAAUAACAGACUUUUCCUUAAGAGUGUAUUCAAUUAGUGGGAAAGAGUUGGGUUUUAUAAUAGAAGUCGUAUUUCUUCAUUCUUUCUUUUUUUAAAUCUUUUAGUCAGGACAGUGUAUAAGUGUAAGGGUAUUUACGGAAGAAAGUUUUUAAAAGAGAGAUGUACAGAAGCCAGGUUUUUACAGGGAUAUGUUCGCGCAAAGAAACUAUUCUUGUAUAAAUGUGAUAAAUCUACUUUCCUUUGUUCUGAAGGUGCUUUGGCUUCUAGCCCGGACCCCAGUGUUGUUCUGGAAGCCCUAAAUUUUCUGUUGUCUUCUGAGGUAACUAACACUAUGCUUACCUUCUUGGAAUGGGCUCUUUCUUUGUCUAGCGGAAAUUAUUUAAUACAUUGUAAUCAAUUCUAGGUUCGAAAUCAAGAUGCCGUGCAUGGUUUAGCAGGAAUUAGCCGUGAGGGACGUGAUGUUGCAUGGAUGUGGUUGAAGGUAAUUAUUUCUCCGAAAUCAAGUUUAUGAACUCGAUAACCUUCAACAACCUGGUUUAUUUGGCCUUUAAAACUGUUUCACGGAUGACAUUAAUAAUGCUUUUCUUUCCUCUUCUUUAAUCCAUUAAUGGUUGUUUAACGUUAUAUUUGGUUCUAAUAAGAUGUCAUUUUAUUACUUCCAUUUACUUUUGUUCUAUAUUUACCGUGCUUGUCGGUUGAGUGCAGGAAAACUGGGAACACAUCUCAAAGACGUGGGGCUCUGGAUUUUUGAUCACUCGCUUUAUCAGUUCUAUUGUGUCACCGGUUCGUAAAUCACCGUCUUUAUGUUUACAAUUAAUUAUUCACAGCCAAGCUUGCUUGAAUGACUCUCUUGUUGUUGUUGCAGUUCUCCUCGGAUGAGAAAGGCGAUGAAAUAGAAAAUUUCUUUGCUACCCGCUCGAAGCCUUCCAUUUCUAGGACACUGAAGCAGAGUAUCGAGCGAGUUAGGGUCAACGCGAAGUGGGUUAAAAGUAUUCAGAGCGAGACUUCCCUGGGAGAAGUUGUGGAGGAGUUAGCCUACAGAAUAUACUAAUUUACGGUACUGCUGUGCAUCGACCAAUAAAGAUUGCUGAUGUAGCUAUUGUUGAUAUAACUGCGAGAUGUCCCGACGAGAAACUCUUUUCCUCUCCACAAGAUAACUUAUAAAAUG